UACGAAGGGAGCUAGCGUUGUUCGGAAUCACUGGGCGUAAAGCGCGCGUAGGCGGAUGUGUCAGUCAGGGGUGAAAUCCCGGAGCUCAACUUCGGAACUGCCCUUGAUACAGCACGUCUUGAGUCCGGAAGAGGUGGGUGGAAUUCCUAGUGUAGAGGUGAAAUUCGUAGAUAUUAGGAAGAACACCGGUGGCGAAGGCGGCCCACUGGUCCGGUACUGACGCUGAGGUGCGAAAGCGUGGGGGGCAAACAGG
rnacentral:rRNA from 1 species